rnacentral:rRNA from 1 species
AGACCCGAAACCCGGUGAUCUAGCCAUGGGCAGGUUGAAGGUUGGGUAACACUAACUGGAGGACCGAACCGACUAAUGUUGAAAAAUUAGCGGAUGACCUGUGGCUGGGGGUGAAAGGCCAAUCAAACCGGGAGAUAGCUGGUUCUCCCCGAAAGCUAUUUAGGUAGCGCCUCGUGAAUUCAUCUCCGGGGGUAGAGCACUGUUUCGGCUAGGGGGCCAUCCCGGCUUACCAACCCGAUGCAAACUGCGAAUACCGGAGAAUGUUAUCACGGGAGACACACGGCGGGUGCUAACGUCCGUCGUGAAGAGGGAAACAACCCAGACCGCCAGCUAAGGUCCCAAAGUCAUGGUUAAGUGGGAAACGAUGUGGGAAGGCCCAGACAGCCAGGAUGUUGGCUUAGAAGCAGCCAUCAUUUAAAGAAAGCGUAAUAGCUCACUGGUCGAGUCGGCCUGCGCGGAAGAUGUAACGGGGCUAAACCAUGCACCGAAGCUGCGGCAGCGAACGUAUCACCCAAGACAACUUUACGGAGUUGACGAUUGACGGAGCGAAGCGACGUCAAAGCGUUCAUUAAAGUCGAGUUGGCUUAGGGAUACGUUCGUUGGGUAGGGGAGCGUUCUGUAAGCCUGUGAAGGUGUGUCGUGAGGCAUGCUGGAGGUAUCAGAAGUGCGAAUGCUGACAUAAGUAACGAUAAAGCGGGUGAAAAGCCCGCUCGCCGGAAGACCAAGGGUUCCUGUCCAACGUUAAUCGGGGCAGGGUGAGUCGACCCCUAAGGCGAGGCCGAAAGGCGUAGUCGAUGGGAAACGGGUUAAUAUUCCCGUACUUGGUGUUACUGCGAAGGGGGGACGGAGAAGGCUAUGUUGGCCGGGCGACGGUUGUCCCGGUUUAAGCGUGUAGGUGUGUGUUCCAGGUAAAUCCGGUUCACUUUAACACUGAGGCGUGACGACGAGGCACUACGGUGCUGAAGCAACAAAUGCCCUGCUUCCAGGAAAAGCCUCUAAGCAUCAGGUAACACGAAAUCGUACCCCAAACCGACACAGGUGGUCAGGUAGAGAAUACCAAGGCGCUUGAGAGAACUCGGGUGAAGGAACUAGGCAAAAUGGUGCCGUAACUUCGGGAGAAGGCACGCUGACACGUAGGUGAAGUGAUUUACUCAUGGAGCUGAAGUCAGUCGAAGAUACCAGCUGGCUGCAACUGUUUAUUAAAAACACAGCACUGUGCAAACACGAGAGUGGACGUAUACGGUGUGACGCCUGCCCGGUGCCGGAAGGUUAAUUGAUGGGGUCAGCGUAAGCGAAGCUCCUGAUCGAAGCCCCGGUAAACGGCGGCCGUAACUAUAACGGUCCUAAGGUAGCGAAAUUCCUUGUCGGGUAAGUUCCGACCUGCACGAAUGGCGUAAUGAUGGCCAGGCUGUCUCCACCCGAGACUCAGUGAAAUUGAACUCGCUGUGAAGAUGCAGUGUACCCGCGGCAAGACGGAAAGACCCCGUGAACCUUUACUAUAGCUUGACACUGAACAUUGAGCCUUGAUGUGUAGGAUAGGUGGGAGGCUUUGAAGUGUGGACGCCAGUCUGCAUGGAGCCGACCUUGAAAUACCACCCUUUAAUGUUUGAUGUUCUAACGUGGACCCGUAAUCCGGGUUGCGGACAGUGUCUGGUGGGUAGUUUGACUGGGGCGGUCUCCUCCUAAAGAGUAACGGAGGAGCACGAAGGUUGGCUAAUCCUGGUCGGACAUCAGGAGGUUAGUGCAAUGGCAUAAGCCAGCUUGACUGCGAGCGUGACGGCGCGAGCAGGUGCGAAAGCAGGUCAUAGUGAUCCGGUGGUUCUGAAUGGAAGGGCCAUCGCUCAACGGAUAAAAGGUACUCCGGGGAUAACAGGCUGAUACCGCCCAAGAGUUCAUAUCGACGGCGGUGUUUGGCACCUCGAUGUCGGCUCAUCACAUCCUGGGGCUGAAGUAGGUCCCAAGGGUAUGGCUGUUCGCCAUUUAAAGUGGUACGCGAGCUGGGUUUAGAACGUCGUGAGACAGUUCGGUCCCUAUCUGCCGUGGGCGCUGGAGAACUGAGGGGGGCUGCUCCUAGUACGAGAGGACCGGAGUGGACGCAUCACUGGUGUUCGGGUUGUCAUGCCAAUGGCACUGCCCGGUAGCUAAAUGCGGAAGAGAUAAGUGCUGAAAGCAUCUAAGCACGAAACUUGCCCCGAGAUGAGUUCUCCCUGAGACUUAGAGUCUCCUGAAGGAACGUUGAAG